UGUCCAGUAGCACCUUAGAGACCAACUAAGUUUGUUCUUGGUAUAAGCUUUCGUGUGCAUGCACUAGAACAAACUUAGUUGGUCUAUAAAGUGCUACUGGACA